UGGGGAAUUUUUGGACAAUGGGCGCAAAGCCUGAUCCAGCCAUGCCGCGUGCGGGAAGAAGGCCUUCGGGUUGUAAACCGCUUUUGUCAGGGAAGAAAUCUUCUGAGUUAAUACCUCGGGAGGAUGACGGUACCUGAAGAAUAAGCACCGGCUAACUACGUGCCAGCAGCCGCGGUAAUACGUAGGGUGCAAGCGUUAAUCGGAAUUACUGGGCGUAAAGCGUGCGCAGGCGGUUUUGUAAGACAGAGGGUGAAAUCCCCGGGCUCAACCUGGGAACGUGCCUUUGUGACUGCAAGGCUUGAGUGCGGCAGAGGGGGGAUGGAAUUCCGCGUGUAGCAGUGAAAUGCGUAGAUAUGCGGAGGAACACCGAUGGCGAAGGCAAUCCCCUGGGCCUGCACUGACGCUCAUGCACGAAAGCGUGGGGAGCAAACAGGAUUAG
rnacentral:rRNA from 1 species